CGUUAGCGGCGGACGGGUGAGUAACGCGUGGGCAACCUGCCUUACACAGGGGGAUAACAAUUAGAAAUGAUUGCUAAUACCGCAUAAGACCCCAGUACCGCAUGGUACAGAGGUAAAAACUGAGGUGGUGUAAGAUGGGCCCGCGUCUGAUUAGGUAGUUGGUGGGGUAGAAGCCUACCAAGCCGACGAUCAGUAGCUGACCUGAGAGGGCGACCGGCCACAUUGGGACUGAGACACGGCCCAAACUCCUACGGAAGGCAGCAG
rnacentral:rRNA from 1 species